rnacentral:misc_RNA from 1 species
GGAGGAUGUUAUCCAGGCUUGUUUUGAAGGGAAUCCAUUUAAAACGGUUCCUGGGCCCUUUAAACUCUUUUGGCGGUGCAUGCGCUCAAAUCCUGGGGAGGAGCCUACAGAACCAUUCUCCUAUUUGCAGCUGGAUCCACCAAAGAUUGAGGACGCCAAACUAGACUAAAUACUACAAAUUUCAGAAGCAAAAGCAGCCUUGUUUGAGAAGACUUAGUUGCAAAACAUCCAGAAUUAGCUUCCUGUCGGAUUAGUUUGCAUUGGCC